UACGGAGGGUGCAAGCGUUAUCCGGAUUUACUGGGUUUAAAGGGUGCGUAGGCGGGCCUUUAAGUCAGUGGUGAAAUCUCCCCGCUCAACGGGGGAAACUGCCAUUGAUACUAUUGGUCUUGAAUUUAGUUGAGGUGGGCGGAAUGUGUCGGUGUAGCGGUGAAAUGCUUAGAUAUGACACAGAACACCGAUUGCGAAGGCAGCUCGCUAAACUAAUAUUGACGCUGAGGCACGAAAGCGUGGGGAUCAAACAGG
rnacentral:rRNA from 1 species